rnacentral:pre_miRNA from 1 species
CUAUGUCGAUUAUGAUGAGGGUGAUGAUGAUGAUGAUGAUGAUGAUGAAAAUGUUGAUCAUCUUCAUCGUCUUCAUGAUCAUGUUUUCCAUAUGGU